rnacentral:rRNA from 1 species
UACGAAGGGGGCUAGCGUUGCUCGGAAUCACUGGGCGUAAAGCGCACGUAGGCGGCUUGUUAAGUCAGGGGUGAAAUCCUGGAGCUCAACUCCAGAACUGCCUUUGAUACUGGCGAGCUUGAGUUCGGGAGAGGUGAGUGGAACUGCGAGUGUAGAGGUGAAAUUCGUAGAUAUUCGCAAGAACACCAGUGGCGAAGGCGGCUUACUGGUCCGGUUCUGACGCUGAGGCGCGAAAGCGUGGGGAGCAAACAGGG